rnacentral:rRNA from 1 species
GCGGAGGAAAAGAAAAUAACAAUGAUUCCCCUAGUAACGGCGAGUGAAGAGGGAAAAGCUCAAAGUUGGAACCUGGUGGUCAUAGGCUACCCGGAUUGUAAACUAAAGUUUUUGAGUCGUUUAGUCAGACUGGUAAAUAAGUCCUCUGGAAAGGGGCGACAUAGAGGGUGAAAUCCCCGUCUUUGGCCAGAAUUUUGAUUAGGCGUUUGGCUUGGAAACGAAGAGUCAGGUUGUUUGGGAAUGCAGCCUAAAAUGGGAGGUAAAUCUCUCCUAAAGCUAAAUAUUGACGAAAGACCGAUAGCGAACAAGUACCGUGAGGGAAAGAUGAAAAGCACUUUGAAAAGAGGGUCAAAAAGUACGUGAAAUUGCUGAAAGGGAACCGUAUGAAAUCAGACCUACUGGUAGGUAAUCAAUCUUUCCUUUGGGAAGGAUGCACUUGCCUGCUAUUGUAUGCCAGCGACAUUUUGGCUUGGAAGGAAAAAAAUAGGGGGAAUGUAGCCUAGGCUUCGGUUUAGGUGUUAUAGCCCUUUAUAAAAUACUUUCGACUGGAAUGAGGAACGCAGCAAACCGUAAGGCGAAGAUUUUAGGCGCUUGGGGGGAGUAAUGAGAGAAUUUCUGCUUCGGGUGGUGCUUUUAUUAUUUCUUUCAACUCGCUUGGAGUUCUUUUAAUUUGCUUAGGUUGUUGGCUUAAUGAUUUUAUAUGAC